rnacentral:lncRNA from 1 species
CGGCGGCCUCACCGCGGCAUCCUGGGAGGCGUAGUUCUCACUCCUAUGACAGAAAACGAGGGUGUGGCCAGCAAAGGACUUCAAGGCCCAUGAUCCCUUAGGAGGGGGCCGGCUGCAUUAGGGGUGGCUGCUGGUUUGUAACGUGCGUUGUUGGGGGCUGGGGAGGAUUUACGGCUCUAAAGCCUUCCAUAUAACGCUUUAACGGUGGGCAGAGCGGUUUCUGUUGCGUCCCGUCCUGUACUUUUCGCACCCACCUGUGAGAUAGGCGUUAAGCGUUAUGCACGCUUUAUAGAUGUAGAAAGUGAAGUACGGUUAAGGAGGCGGUGUGAAGUGUCAAAGCUAUGAAAUGUAGAACUGCAUUAGCCUUGGCUAAUUCCACGUCAUAUAUUCUUGCCACUACACCACAGCUACCCACCAUUUUGGGGAUGGGAAACUGAUAGCUGGGGUAUAGCAGUUUCUUCUUUACUUCAAUCUCAGGGACAGACCUUGUAAGAAUGAUGUCUUCUGCACAGCUGACCAUUUUUUUCCAACUUGAGGAUUUCAGUGCUAAGGGGCCUGACCAUAUCCACAUCUGGACUGGGCUCCCCCAGAGUGGCUUCUGGGUCUAGGAAGAGGAUACAAUUGACUGAGGUGGUGGUAGGAGCGGUGGAAUGAGAAGAAUGAAAUUGAAAAGGGAGCUUGGCAUAAUUCAGGACCUGUCACAAUUCACAAACAAGCCACUUAUGGGGCCUGUUUGCCCAAGCCUUUUAAGUGGCUUAAAUUAAUUAGGAUAACAAUACAUGUUGACGUUCCGGUUUUUAUUUAGGAGAGGUGAAAGAUUGACACGUCUCCCACACCCCAAGUCACGUUAUAGACUUGGGCAUCCUGUCCCCCCUCUCGCUAUUCUCCAUCCCUGUAGUCGGAGGCAUUCAGAAUUACCUCUUUCUCUGGCUCUGCAUUAAAGGAUUACAGUCUUAAGGAUUGAUUUCCUCUUCCUAGGUGCCUGCUUUAAUUCUCUACUGCACUAAGUUAUGGAGCUUCUGCCUUUUCCAAGUUUUUUGGUAGUGUUUUGCUUUUAUGACUGAAUGCGGUGUCUGCCCUCAGUGUCUUUCAUCUGAAGAUCUCCAGGCACUUAAAAAUUAGUUACUGGGCUGCACAAACAUUAAGGUGAUGUGUCUGUGUCAUUAGUCAGGAUUUAUGAGUUAGGGAACCAGUUUCUGGAUGAGGAGGUAGCUCAAGGUCUGGAGUGGGUUAAGAGUGAGGUCUGUUCAAGGACCCAAGUCUCAAGAGUUCUUGGCUCUUGUCUUCCGCCCAAAAUAAAGGUCUACGAGAAAACAGUCUCGGAGCUAAAAAUGAAUGGGAAUAAUCCACAUGAGAGUUGCUCCUUCUGCCUGGGCCUGGGAAUGAGAAGACCUGUGGAGCUGAGCUACUGCUUACCCACAACCUGCAUAUACAUAAAUCAGAAGCCAGCACUGGUUGUUGUGAGUCGCUUAGAUUUUGGGCUUGAUGAAGAUGACCUUAGGCACAGUGACCCUGAAGGCCACAUGUUAAAGACAGUGGAGCCACAGGAUGGAAGGAAGCUGGUUCCCUGAAUCAUCACGUGGCAGAGAGCGGACCACUAAUCAGGAUCAUGUGUUUCAGAUUUCACUUGACCAAUAAAUCAAUUUCAAUUUUGUUACACUG